GUGGGGAAUAUUGGACAAUGGGCGAAAGCCUGAUCCAGCCAUGCCGCGUGUGUGAAGAAGGUCUUCGGAUUGUAAAGCACUUUAAGUUGGGAGGAAGGGCAGUAAGUUAAUACCUUGCUGUUUUGACGUUACCGACAGAAUAAGCACCGGCUAACUCCGUGCCAGCAGCCGCGGUAAUACGAAGGGUGCAAGCGUUAAUCGGAAUUACUGGGCGUAAAGCGCGCGUAGGUGGUUUUGUAAGUUGGAGGUGAAAUCCCCGGGCUCAACCUGGGAACUGCCUCCAAAACUGCAUGACUAGAGUACGGUAGAGGGUAGUGGAAUUUCCUGUGUAGUGGUGAAAUGCGUAGAUAUAGGAAGGAACACCAGUGGCGAAGGCGACUACCUGGACUGAUACUGACACUGAGGUGCGAAAGCGUGGGGAGCAAACAGGAUUAGAAACCCUGGUAGUCC
rnacentral:rRNA from 1 species